rnacentral:rRNA from 1 species
GAUGAACGCUGGCGGCGUGCCUAAUACAUGCAAGUCGAGCGAACGGACGAGAAGCUUGCUUCUCUGAUGUUAGCGGCGGACGGGUGAGUAACACGUGGAUAACCUACCUAUAAGACUGGGAUAACUUCGGGAAACCGGAGCUAAUACCGGAUGAUAUUUUGAACCGCAUGGUUCAAAAGUGAAAGACGGUCUUGCUGUCACUUAUAGAUGGAUCCGCGCUGCAUUAGCUAGUUGGUAAGGUAACGGCUUACCAAGGCAACGAUGCAUAGCCGACCUGAGAGGGUGAUCGGCCACACUGGAACUGAGACACGGUCCAGACUCCUACGGGAGGCAGCAGUAAGGAAUCUUCCGCAAUGGGCGAAAGCCUGACGGAGCAACGCCGCGUGAGUGAUGAAGGUCUUCGGAUCGUAAAACUCUGUUAUUAGGGAAGAACAUAUGUGUAAGUAACUGUGCACAUCUUGACGGUACCUAAUCAGAAAGCCACGGCUAACUACGUG